GGGGUUAUGGCUCAGUGGUAGAGCACUCACCUAGAACAUGAGAGGUGCUGGGUUCGAUCCUCAGUACCA
rnacentral:tRNA from 1 species